ensembl:lncRNA
CCGUUGUGGCCCAUACUGUUCUAUACUGGUCCAUACUGGUCCAUACUGGUCUAUACUGGUCCAUACUGGUCCAUACUGGUCUAUACUGGUCCAUACUGGUUUAUACUGGUCCAUACUGGUCCAUACUGGUGUUGGAAGGGGUUGGACAAUGGGUUCUCCUGGGAUCUUCUAUUGGUUCCUAUGGGCCUCUAUUGACCACUAUGGGUCCCUAUUGGUCUAUACUGGUUUCUACUGGUCCUUACUGGUCCAUACUGGUCCAUACUGGUCCAUACUGGUCUAUACUGGUCCAUACUGGUGUGGGAAGGGGUUGGACAAUGGGUUCUCCUGGGAUCUUCUAUUGGUUCCUAUGGCUCUCUAUGGACCCCUAUGGGUCCCUAUUGGUCUAUACUGGUUUCUACUGGUCCAUACUGGUCCCUAUUGGUCCAUACUGGUCCAUACUGGUCCAUACUGGUCCAUACUGGUGUUUGAUAGGGGUGCAACAAUGGGUUCUCCUGGGAUCUUCUACUGCUUCCUAUGGGCCUCUAUUGACCACUAUGGGUCCCUAUUGGUCCAUACUGGUUUCUACUGGUCCAUACUGGUCUAUACUGGUUUCUACUGGUCUAUACUGGUCUAUACUGGUCCAUACUGGUCCAUACUGGUCCAUAUUGGUCUAUACUGGUCCAUACUGGUCCAUACUGGUCCAUACUGGUCUAUACUGGUGUUGGAAGAGGUGCAAUAAUGGGCUCUCCUGGGAUCUUCUAUUGGUUCCUAUGGGUCUCUAUUGACCUCUAUGGGUCCGUUGUGGCCCAUACUGGUCCCUAUUGGUCCAUACUGGUUUCUACUGGUCCAUACUGGUCUAUACUGGUCUAUACUGGUCCAUACUGGUUUAUACUGGUCCAUACUGGUCCAUACUGGUCCAUAGUGGUGUUUGAUAGGGGUGCAACAAUGGGUUCUCCUGGGAUCUUCUACUGCUUCCUAUGGGCCUCUAUUGACCACUAUGGGUCCCUAUUGGUCCAUACUGGUUUCUACUGGUCCGUACUGGUCCAUACUGGUCCAUACUGGUCCGUACUGGUCCAUACUGGUUUAUACUGGUUUAUACUGGUCCAUACUGGUGUUGGAAGGGGUUGGAAGGGGUUGGACAAUGGGUUCUCCUGGGAUCUUCUAUUGGUUCCUAUGGGCCUCUAUUGACCUCUAUGGGUCCGUAGCGGCCCAUACUGGUCCCUAUUGGUCCAUACUGGUUUCUACUGGUCCAUACUGGUCUAUACUGGUUUAUACUGGUCUAUACUGGUCUAUACUGGUCCAUACUGGUGUUGGAAGGGGUUGGA